rnacentral:rRNA from 1 species
AGAGUUUGAUCCUGGCUCAGAUUGAACGCUGGCGGCAGGCUUAACACAUGCAAGUCGAACGAUGAUUAUCUAGCUUGCUAGAGAUGAUUAGUGGCGGACGGGUGAGUAACAUUUAGGAAUCUGCCUAGUAGUGGGGGAUAGCUCGGGGAAACUCGAAUUAAUACCGCAUACGACCUACGGGUGAAAGGGGGCGCAAGCUCUUGCUAUUAGAUGAGCCUAAAUCAGAUUAGCUAGUUGGUGGGGUAAAGGCCUACCAAGGCGACGAUCUGUAACUGGUCUGAGAGGAUGAUCAGUCACACCGGAACUGAGACACGGUCCGGACUCCUACGGGAGGCAGCAGUGGGGAAUAUUGGACAAUGGGGGCAACCCUGAUCCAGCCACGCCGCGUGUGUGAAGAAGGCCUUUUGGUUGUAAAGCACUUUAAGCAGGGAGGAGAGGCUAAUGGUUAAUACCCAUUAGAUUAGACGUUACCUGCAGAAUAAGCACCGGCUAACUCUGUGCCAGCAGCCGCGGUAAUACAGAGGGUGCGAGCGUUAAUCGGAAUUACUGGGCGUAAAGCGAGUGUAGGUGGCUCAUUAAGUCACAUGUGAAAUCCCCGGGCUUAACCUGGGAACUGCAUGUGAUACUGGUGGUGCUAGAAUAUGUGAGAGGGAAGUAGAAUUCCAGGUGUAGCGGUGAAAUGCGUAGAGAUCUGGAGGAAUACCGAUGGCGAAGGCAGCUUCCUGGCAUAAUAUUGACACUGAGAUUCGAAAGCGUGGGUAGCAAACAGGAUUAGAUACCCUGGUAGUCCACGCCGUAAACGAUGUCUACUAGCCGUUGGGGUCCUUGAGACUUUAGUGGCGCAGUUAACGCGAUAAGUAGACCGCCUGGGGAGUACGGCCGCAAGGUUAAAACUCAAAUGAAUUGACGG